CCCUUCCUUGUCUUGGGGAGCAUAAUGUCCAGUGAACGUAUAGUGAGGGCAUUGAUGCUGACAAACCCAUUGCAAAAGAAAGGAUGUGUGUCCUUUUCUUUUACCCUGUCCCCGUCCGCUGGUAUGCUUUCAAACAGCUGUACCAGGUGGUCGGAAUUUUUGAAGCA